ACUCCUACGGGAGGCAGCAGUGGGGAAUAUUGGACAAUGGGCGCAAGCCUGAUCCAGCAAUGCCGCGUGUGUGAAGAAGGUCUUCGGAUUGUAAAGCACUUUCGACGGGGACGAUGAUGACGGUACCCGUAGAAGGAGCCCCGGCUAACUUCGUGCCAGCAGCCGCGGUAAUACGAAGGGGGCUAGCGUUGCUCGGAAUGACUGGGCGUAAAGGGCGCGUAGGCGGAUGGUAUAGUCAGAUGUGAAAUUCCCGGGCUUAACCUGGGGGCUGCAUUUGAUACGUGCUGUCUGGAGUGAGGAAGAGGGUUGUGGAAUUCCCAGUGUAGAGGUGAAAUUCGUAGAUAUUGGGAAGAACACCGGUGGCGAAGGCGGCAACCUGGUCCUUGACUGACGCUGAGGCGCGAAAGCGUGGGGAGCAAACAGGAUUAGAUACCCUGGUAGUCCACGCUGUAAACGAUGUGUGCUGGAUGUUGGGCGACC
rnacentral:rRNA from 1 species